AUCGUUCAACCUCAUAAGAGGUCGCAAGUAAGCCGACUCGGAACGGAUA
rnacentral:ncRNA from 1 species